AUGCCCUUUGUGUGCAAAAAAUCAUUGAACAGUACCCCCCCAUAAGAGGAAUAAACUAAUUGAUGUACACAUCAAGGAGUAUCAAGGCCAGAGAUUCUUAAUCUUCCCAAUACACGACAACUUUCACUGGACAAUUGUUGUGUACGACGUGAAAGAGAAUGUAUGGAGGCAUUAUAACUCACUGCGCCCAAGAGAAGGCAUACAUGACCCACAUAUUGACAAAGCACAAAUACUGAGGGACUACAUCACAGCUUUGGUGCACAACAUUGGACCGUCAUCACCAUUAUGGACCAAUUUAUCAAGCCAAAAUACUUCCAAAACAAUCAUAUCAGUGGACAUCUGUCCUCAGCAAGCAUCAAAUUCGGUGGAUUGUGGGCCUGCAGUUUGUUACAUCAUGAGGGCGCAUGUAUAUCGUGAAGACAUUGUUGCCAGCCUAGAUCGCUUUGAAUGGUGUCAAAUAAGAGACUCAUUAGUACACCUUUUUCUGAACCACAGAAAGACAGUGCAAUGUGAAAACCUAUAGGUAGGGGGUGUCCACCUAUCACUGUUACCCAAAUCUGUUAUCCACAUUUAAGACAAUUUAGUUUCACUAGCUUAAUUGUAAAUGAAGUCUAUAUCACUGCUUGUACAGAUACUUUUCAGUCAAUAUAUGUAUAUGCAU